GUAUGUACCAAAAUUCUGGACUUCCAGAAGGAGAGCAGGUUAUUGUUGGGCUAGAAGAUUGUAGUGCUGGAGGAGCACUAUGUAACAACCUUCAUAAAUCAGCACUUAACAAUGAACAACCCACAUCCUACUUCCAGUGAGUUAACUAACAAUGCAUCAAAUUGCAUCAAACCAAUGAGGACUAGAAGGAACUGAUAAACUCUAGAGCAGAAGAACAAGAUGGGAUGGCUGUUUUGGUUUGAAAUGAGCAAGGACAUGAAGUUCAGAGUCUGCGUAUUACCAUGCCCAUGCACAUUCCCCAUGAGGUCAAGAGGCUGGGAUGACCUCUCUGGGGUCCUAACCUUAUUCAGACACACUCUACCACCGCCUGCCUGGGUAGCUUCAGCCAAAGCAGAUUCAUCCUUCUGGGCCAUGAACCUCCCGGUGGGAGGUGUUAAAUAGGGUCAAUGGCCUUCUGCCCUGCUGGCUCAGGAAGCCUUUCAGAGGGCUCUGAUAGAGUGUUGGAGCAGAAAGAUGCUAGAACAUGAACUUCAAUGAGAACUGAGGAUAUUUUCCCCCUUCCAGUUCAUUCUUUCUCUCUAAAGCCAUGCCUUGUCAGUGCCUUUUCCUCAUGUUACUGAGGUCAUAAACUUACUAAGCCUAC